rnacentral:tRNA from 1 species
GCGGUCGUGGCGGAAUUGGCAGACGCGCUAGAUUCAGGUUCUAGUGCCCUUACGGGUGUGGGUGUUCAAGUCACCUCGACCGCACCA